rnacentral:rRNA from 1 species
UGAGUGGAGCUUGCUCCAUGAUUCAGCGGCGGACGGGUGAGUAAUGCCUAGGAAUCUGCCUGGUAGUGGGGGACAACGUUUCGAAAGGAACGCUAAUACCGCAUACGUCCUACGGGAGAAAGCAGGGACCUUCGGGCCUUGCGCUAUCAGAUGAGCCUAGGUCGGAUUAGCUAGUUGGUGGGGUAAAGGCCUACCAAGGCGACGAUCCGUAACUGGUCUGAGAGGAUGAUCAGUCACACUGGAACUGAGAC